rnacentral:rRNA from 1 species
AAGACCUUGCACUUUUGGAGCGGCCGAUGUCUGAUUAGCUAGUUGGUGGGGUAAUGGCCUACCAAAGCUUCGAUCAGUAGCUGGUCUGAGAGGACGGCCAGCCACACUGGGACUGAGACACGGCCCAGACUCCUACGGGAGGCAGCAGUGGGGAAUUUUGGACAAUGGGCGCAAGCCUGAUCCAGCCAUGCCGCGUGAGUGAAGAAGGCCUUCGGGUUGUAAAGCUCUUUCAGCCGGGAAGAAAAGGRUYCGACUAAUAAUCGCAAUUCAUGACGGUACCGYAAGAAGAAGCACCGGCUAACUACGUGCCAGCAGCCGCGGUAAUACGUAGGGUGCGAGCGUUAAUCGGAAUUACUGGGCGUAAAGGGUGCGCAGGCGGUUUUGUAAGUCAGAUGUGAAAUCCCCGGGCUUAACCUGGGAACU